GAGACAACUCUGACGUUUAGUCACUAAAUAUACUCGUCCUUAUUUUUACGGAUCUUUUUAAUAUUUACUCAUUUAUCUAUCUAUUAUUUUAUCUUAUUUAUAAUCGUUAUUUUAGUAUUAUCCAUUAAUCUGUUUAUUUAUUUAUAAUUUUCUUUUUAGAUGAGCACCAAGGUGAUGAGAUGCAGUGCAGCCAAAUAGUCUUCCCCUUUACGUUACUGUAUUCAGCUUUAGCGCAUUACUGUUUAUGAUAGCCAUAAUGGCUAGACUCACGAAUUAAUAUGAAUACGAGUCAUCAUCAUCUUCUCAAUGGUAAAGGAUGAGAUGUUAAACGGUUACAUCAGACACCGCACUGCACUGCCUGCAUGUCAUCUCAGGGUGACUUUGCAGGGCAUACAACGUGAAGGAGACACUAAAGCCCAUUUGCUUCCUCAUGGCAAAAGACAUACACAAUUCCACCUCAGCUGAAGGGAUGACGUACGCCACCACAAAGAGUUCAAUAGUGUCAGCAGCCAGACCCAAACCCACGAUCAACAGAAGCAGCCGCUGGAAGGCCCCUGUGCCAGCCUGAGGGGCGAAGGGUUUCUUAUAAACACACAACUCAUUCUGAUGAUGGAAAGACGAACUCUGGCGCCUCACCUGCUGAAUGGCAUCUUCGUGGAACUGUGAGAGGAGCGGGGCGUCGCUCUCUACAUAAUCAAGCUCGUCACUCGCCUCUACAUUAUCUCGACCAGCGCCAG